rnacentral:rRNA from 1 species
UUUAUGGAGAGUUUGAUCCUGGCUCAGGAUGAACGCUGGCGGCGUGCCUAAUACAUGCAAGUCGAGCGAACUGACGAGGAGCUUGCUCCUUUGACGUUAGCGGCGGACGGGUGAGUAACACGUGGGUAACCUACCUAUAAGACUGGAAUAACUCCGGGAAACCGGGGCUAAUGCCGGAUAACAUAUCGAACCGCAUGGUUCGAUAGUGAAAGACGGUCUUGC